UGAGGAAUAUUGGGCAAUGCCCGCAAGGGUGACCCAGCAACGCCGCGUGGAGGAUGAAUGUCGUAAGAUUGUAAACUCCUGUUAGAGGGGAAGAAUAGUACCGGUUGGACCGGUAUAUGACUGUACCCUCAGAGAAAGCCCCGGCUAACUACGUGCCAGCAGCCGCGGUAAUACGUAGGGGGCAAGCGUUGUCCGGAUUUACUGGGUGUAAAGGGCGCGCAGGCGGGAUAAAAAGUCAGUGGUGAAAUCCUACAGCUUAACUGUAGAACUGCCUUUGAUACUUGUAUUCUUGAGUUCGGGAGAGAGUGACGGAAUUCCAGGUGUAGUGGUGAAAUACGUAGAUAUCUGGAAGAACACCAGUUGCGAAGGCGGUCUCUUGGUCCGACACUGACGCUGAGGCGCGAAAGCGUGGGGAGCAAACA
rnacentral:rRNA from 1 species